rnacentral:lncRNA from 1 species
CCCCAUUUUUUGAUAAAUAAAUAAAAUGGUUUAAAAAUGUAUUUUUUGAUUCAAUUUGUGAUUUGAAAAAUUAAUUGUGAUUUAAAAGAAAGAUGGGUCUAAAUGGGACUUUUGAAAAUGCGACGAUUUGACCCAAGAAAAAUAGUUCAAAAAGGGUUUUUUAUAUGAAAAAUGGAGUCGCCACUUGGUAUAGAGUUAGGGUGUACCAAGUCACCCAAAAAAGUGAAUUUUUUAAGGAAAAAAGUAAGAAACCCUUUUGAACGACUCCUAGUCCACGUAAACCAAUCAAAAAGGUUCGGGAGUCACAUUUGACGAAGGGGAAGGCAAGGAUAAAUCCAAGGCACCCCUUUGACCUAGCCAAGGCUAGUUGCGUUGAUUUAAUCAAAGAUUUUCUCGUUUUAACCAAAGAAUUUAUUACAUUUGGAUGUACUACAUGAAUGCAAACCCUAGACCUAGGGGUAUUGGGGGAAAUUUCCCUUCAAAGGUUGAGUGGUGCCAAUCACAUUAAUUGUGAAGCCCAAUAACGAUCCUUUGAAGAAGUCACGAAUAAUGCGAGUGGGAUGCAAAUGAAUGGAAUGCAUGUAUACAAUGUGAGGACAUGAGUUUGAAAAAGUAAUAAAAGAUAAGAAUGUGUAAAUGGAAAUGUGCACGUGAGUGGGCAAGGUGCGGUGUGUGAAAUGAUAAUAUGAAGUACAUGUGUGCAAGUGAUGAUAAAAGUGUUUGUGUGCAAGUGAAGGGAUAAAAAGGUGUACGUGUGCAAAUGAGGGGAGAAGUGUUCGUGUGCAAGUGAAGGGAUAAAGGUGUACGUGUGCAAAUGAGGGGAGAAAAUGAAAGUGUAAUGAUAGAGUGGAUGCAUGAACCUAGGGAAUUCAUGCAUAAUGGGUACGGGGAGACCUAAAUCGUGACUCAAUUUGCCCUUUGAUAGAGAGGAUACAAGCGUGCUAAGGCUUAGAAAAAGCCACACUCGUCUAUAUCCCAUAUUUAAGGGGACUCUCAAGCAAAUGAACCCUAUAACUAGCAUGAAAUGCAAAAAUCCUAAAAAUGGAGGGAAAAGGGGUUCGAGGGGCAUGCAAAAUGAUAAAACUAAAAAGAAUGCAUGACAUGUGAUGAACAUGCAAACAUGUACUAACGAGGAAAAAUCCCUAAGGGUCUAGCGUUGGACUAGCCCUUUCUAUGGAUUUCUACUAGCAUUGGACUAGUGGAAACGGAACAAUGAACCACAACUAACGUUGGACUAGUGUGGUGACGAGAAAGGGGGCCACAACUAGCAUUGGACUAGUGUGGUGACGUCCAUUCAUCCAUCACAUUCAUUCAUGACUAUAAAAAGCGAGUAGACAUGCGAAUCACUUAUAAACACGUAGCACAUAACACUUAGCAUGCUUGACUAGAUGCAAGGACCUAAUAAAGCGAUUAAACACGUAGCAGCGAAAGCAAGCAAUGAACUUAUUACAUUUGCUAAUUAAAACAAAGGGGGGAAAGGGAAAAUGGACAAGAAAGCUCACCCUAUCUAUUACAAGCCAAGAGGUGUACACAUACCCCAUUUAAAAGAAUAAUUUAAUAAAAACAAGAAUGAAUGAAAUAAUGGAACUAAAGAAUGGUAAUGAAAGCAAAUUAGGCAUGCGAUUCACACUUAGCACAUUGGAUCACAUAGGAGAGGCAAAAGGGAUAAAAGAAUUUAUACCUCCCUUGAAAUGAAGCUCUAAUGGAGUGAAAUCAACUUAUUUACCCUCCAAAAUAACAAAGGAGUCAAGGUGCCAAUUUAUUUGACAAAUAAUCACAAAGAAUAAAAAUAAACAUGAAUUUGAAUCAAUUAAAUCAUGUCAACAACCCACAUUUAAGAAGUCAAGAAAAGAAAGGACUUGAUUGCAAAGAUUGGCAAAAUUUUGGGGCCAAAAUUAAAGAAAAAUAAAGUUCAGGGACUCAUUUGCAAUUAAACCAGGGACUGAAUUGAAAGCAGUUGAAAAUAUCCAGGGGCACAGUACAAUUAAGGAGAACUUCAAGGACCGAUUUGCAAAAUCAUUUUCUGGUUUCUUAAUGGUCCAAACCAUUGGACCAUUUUCUUAUUUGCUUGGGCCAAAACCUUCGAAGCCCAACCGAAAAUCCAAGGCAAAUGGAAGUAGGCCAAUCUGCUAUUUUGGCCCAAAAAUUAACCAACAAAACCGGUGGGCUUUUACCCCUUGGCCCAAACCAAAACCCCAAAAUCAUAAACUAACCCACUUUCUUAAACCCAAACAACAAAAAACUCUUAGCCCACAUCACUUGUUUUAUUGAACCCAAUCAUGAUAAAAUCAAUAAAAUUAUUAAACCUCAAUUAUAACCUACAAACAAGAAUUAAUCUAUCCAAACAAAUCACAUAAAAUAUGCAAACAGAGGAUUAAGCUUAAAAGGGUGAAAUUAGUUCGAUUUUUCCAGAUUUUGGGCCACGGUGAAUUUGGGGACACUUGAGGGGUUCAAGUGCAAUAAUAACAGGGACUUGAUUGAAAGAAUUAUGAAAGAUCUGGGGCGAAUUAUGGAGCGCUAAUAAUUCUGAAAAUAAAUUACAAAACAAAAUAAAAAUGGAGGGACUGAAAGUGCAGUUUUACACCAAAAGGUCUUCUUCUCCAACGGAUCAGACGUCAAUAUACCAUUUCUGCCUUUCUUUGUAGAGGAAGAACGUUCGAAAAUUCAAAUUCCAACUCACACGAAUCUCAUAUCAUUCAAAUUCAUGCCAUUAAAUCAAAUUCGUGCAAAAGGAAAUCUAAGAAAACGAAAUUCUUCAAACUCUACUUUCUCAUAAAAACAAUUAUUCGGACAAGCAUGGACUUCACUGACCAUUUGCUUUCCCCACCCUCAAAUGCCGAUAAACUACCUCCCAAGUAAAUUUUCAAACAAGCAUUUCAUCGAACAGGAAAUAGGCAUUAAAGUUUCACCAGAUUUUUGCUCGAAUUGAAGUAUAACUAGCCCAAAAAUUUGUCAGCAAACCAAGGAUUUCAAUUCCAAUCAUUAUGUAUAACAUACAUACUCCAAACUUGCAAAUAGCCGACAGGAAAUUGCUACAAACCAAGGCAUAAAAAAAACAGGUUCCGGGAGUUUGAAGAAGGACUGAAAUUUGAAAGAAAAAGGACCGCUUACCAUAUCCAGAAUAGCAUCUCUUUCUCUUCGUCUCCUUCAUUCUGGAAUUGGCCAUGGAGAUUUCGUUGCCUUCAUUGGGGUCCAGCCAGACCUUGUCUAGUGUUUUCUUGGUGACAUUUGCAGGCGGCGGCAAUGGAUUGAUGGUGAGGUGGUAGUAGAAACCUCUGCUGCUUCGACGGAUGGGGUGGCAGAGGUGGCAGCGUGGCGGACGGCAGUGGUGGUUCUGGUUCCUUACCGCACAGCUUGGCUUCUGUUUCUCCAUCCCAAGCUUACUGCCGAAGCCCUCUGUCGUUCAAGCUCUGUUGCCUUUUUUCUUUUUUUCUGAUUUUCUCUAAUUUUCCCAGCCGUCAUCCUCCCCUCCCUCUCGGUUUUUCUCCUGCGCAGCCGCCCCUCUCCUCUGUUUUUCUCUGUUUUCUUUUUCAGCUACAUCCGCCGCCCAUCACUUAUUUCUUUUGUUUUCUCCCUUUCUUCCUCUGCUUCUCAGCCGCCUAGACGGAGUUCACCUCUCUAAUUGUUCCCCCUUUUUACCCUUUUCUUGCCGUUUGUUGAAGCCGAAGCCCCCCCUUCAUUUUCUUGCUCCCCAGUUCUUUUCAGCCGACUGACCCCUUUCUUUUUUUCCCCUUCCUUCCUUUUUUCAUUCGUCCCCUUUUGCUGUUUUUCUUAGCCCACCGACUCCCCCCAGAUUCAUCCCCCUUCCAGGUGUCUUAGACACCUGGCCUUUGUAGCUAAAUUUGCCCCCCAAGGACUCCCUGCAAUUUCUUCUUGCAAGCUGCGGCAACACGCAGCUUUUGGCAUGCGUGACCUUUUUUCUUUUUCCUUUUCUUUUCUCAAAAUAACUUAAUAAAAAUAACUAAAGUGCCAAAAGAUUGAAUUUGAACGUAUUUUUGUGACCAAUUUUCCUUUUUUUCAUGAUUUUUCUACGCUAAAACUUGAAAAUAAAAAUAAAAAUAAAAACUAGAAACUAAAAAAAAACUAAAAGCAACCACGACAAAUGAGAAUAAAAAGUAAAAGAAAUUACACCAAAAAUUUGGUGUCUACAGUUUGCCCCUCUUUGUCUGAGUUUGGAAAAACUUGAGACAAAGAAGUAGACACCAAAUACUUACCUGCUUUAUUCGGUGGCAAACGUCACGAACGGUGGACGUUUUAGAAAUAAGGACUGACCCCUUUUGGCAAAACUUUUGAAAUGGAAUUGACUUAGACAGGAGAUUUAAAGCGGGAUUGAUCCGAACGGAAUUUAAAGACGGGACUGGCCCAAACAGGAACUUAAAGCGGGACUGACCCGAACAGGAAUUUAAAACGGGACUGACCCGAACAUGGAUUGAAAACGGGACUGACCCGGACAGGAAUGUAAAUGGGAUAGACCUGAAUAGAAAUUUAAAUGGGAUAGACCCAGACAGAAAUUUAAAUGGGAUAGACCCCAGACAGAAAUUUAAAACGGGACUGAUCCGAACAAAAAAAUUAAAAUUGGGACUGACUAGAGAGGGAAAUUCAAAUCAUGGGACUGGCCCGAACAAGCUUUAAUCGCGGGGCUGACCCGAAUAAGCUUUGAAUCGCGGGACUGACCCGAACAGGCUUUGAAUCGUGGGACUGACCCACAUAAGCUUUGAAUCGUGGGACUGACCCGAAUAAGUUUUGAAUCGUGGGACUGACCCGAAAAUGCUUUUGAUCAUGGGACUGACCCGAUAAUGCUUUCGAUCAUGGGACCGACCCGAAUAAGCUCUUGAUCGUGGGACUGACCCGAAAAUGCUUUUGAUCAUGGGACUGACCCGAAAAUGCUUUUGAAUCGUGGGACUGGCCCGAAUAAGCUUUGAAUCGUGGGACUGACCCGAAAAUGCUUUUGAUCGUGGGACUGACCCGAAAAUGCUUUUGAUCAUGGGACUGACCCGAAAAUGCUUUUGAUCGUGGGACUGACCCGAAUAAGAUUUUAAUCGCGGGACUGACCCGAAAAUGCUUUCAAUCGUGGGACUGACCCGAAUAAGAUUUUGAUCAUGGGACUGACCCGAAAAUGCUCUUGAUCGUGGGACUGACCCGAAUAAGCUUUGAUCAUGGGACUGACCCGAAAAUGCUCUUGAUCGUGGGACUGACCCGAAUAAGCUUUGAUCAUGGGACUGACCCGAAAAUGGUUUUGAUCAUGGGACUGACCCGAAAAUGCUCUUGAUCGCGGGGCUGACCCGAAAAUGCUUUCGAUCGUGGGACUGACCCGAAUAAGCUUUUGAUCAUGGGACUGACCCGAAAAUGCUUUCGAUCGUGGGACUGACCCGAAUAAGCUUUUGAUCGCGGGACUGACCCGAAAAUGCUUUGAAUCAUGGGACUGACCCGAAUAAGUUUUGAAUCGUGGGACUGACCCGAAAAUGCUUUGAAUCGUGGGACUGACCCGAAAAUGCUCUGAAUCGUGGGACUGACCCGAAAAUGCUCUGAUAAUCGGUCAGUGGGAUUAAGCCCAAACCUGCCGUGAUGAAACUUGAUUUGAUUUUGAUUUUGAUUCUUUUCUUUUCUUUUCUUUCUGAUUUUUCUGAUUUUUUUGGAUUUUUGAUUUUUGAAAUUUUUUCUUUUCUUUUUUUUUAUUGACUUUUUUUUUAUUUGAUUUUUUUGAUUUUUGAAAAACUUUCCAAAAUAACUUGCCCCAGUAUGAUGAAUUGAUUAGUGGGAUUACACCCAAGCCUGCCUUGGUUGCACUGGCGGCACAAAUUUCAGACUCAAUAGGAUGUCGGCGGCACAAAAUCCAGGCCCGACGUGAUUUGUGAUGUUGGCGGCAUGAAAUCCCGGCCCAACGUGAUUUUUGGAGGGUUGGCGGCACGAAGUCCAGGCCCAACUUGAUUUUUGGAAGGUUGGCGGCACGAAAUCCAGGCCCAAUGUGAUAUUUGUGAAUGGCCAGUGGGAUAAGACGCAGUCCUGCCACCCAAUUGGUCAAGAAAUUGAAUUUGAUUUGUCAAGAAACAAGAAAUUUGAUUUUCCAAGAAAUAAGAAUUUGAACUUGAUUUUUGAUUUUUGAAUUUUGAAUUUUUUCUGAUUUUUCGAGAGAAUCUUUUCAAAAUAAUUUACCCUCAGUGUAGGGUCCUUUUUCCCUUCUUUCUUUUCUUUCUUCGGCGUCGGCUUUCCACAUCGCCAGAUGCUCCUUCGUCAAUUUCAACUAUGAAUACCUGCACAGGGGCUUACCAAAAUAUGACAUGCACUUGAAUUUCAUGAAAAGAAACAGCGUGAUUGAUUUGAAAAAUGCAUUAUUUGAUUCUUGGACGAAAUCCUCAAAUGAACUAUAAAAAUUUUGCCUCAGUGUGGGCUUAUUCUGUGAAAUCCCAUGAAUAAAAAUUUGCCCCAAUGUGGGCCCAUUUAAUGGAAAAAGCUUGUUCGGAUGACUUUCCAUUUAUUUGAACACUGUAAGAAUUAUGUUUCCUACAAGGAAAUUUCAUGAUGAAUUUCUUGAAAUAAUACCAAAUUACAAGUGAUUCUUUCCUCAUUUUAGCACCGAUGCUUUGGGUAAUGGGUCACCAUUUCCUGUUGGCUCAAUCUUUCAGGACCAACCGAGUGGGUGUUAUUUCUGAUUUUGGGGUGGCUAAGGAAAAUGAGAAGUCAAGAUUUGUCUUGUUAUUGUGCUCCCAAUUGUAUGUAAUCACAUCUUAGUGAAAGCAAAGAGUUUGUCACCCUUAUUUCUCAAGAAAAUUUAGUCAACAUAUAAGCUUUCUGGGCUUGUAACGUAUGGGCGGAAACGAUAGCUAAAUAGGUGAAAACUGGUUAUACCCUUAUGAUCCGAAUGAUCGUGGGAUUCUUUAAAAGCAUAAUUCUCACUUCAAGUUGUCAUGAAGGAUAAGUCAACGAUGGACUUUAUGAGCUUGUAAUGUGGCUUGAAAACGAUAGUUAAAGAAUAAGACUUUCAAGGAUAUUGCACCGCAAAUCGCAUUUUCCAAAAUUGCCCCUAUUUUGAACUUGAAGAUCCUGAAUUUUGUUUGACUUUUGUCAUCAUUCACCAGGGAUUUCAGAGUCGAUAUUUUUUUGCAUUUAUUUUUUUUGCUUCGCUUUUUGCCUCUUUUUUCCCUCGAGCUGAUGGGUUUCCUCAUACCCGAGUAAUUCAGAAAUACAGCUAAAAUUUUCAGCAUCAGAAAUUUUCUCGACAAGGCCAUUGCAAAGAACAGAAGUCAGGACUUUCGGCUUUUGUAAUGGGGUCAGGUGGGGUGCUUAGAAAAGUUAAGGCUCGAAGGCAGAUUUUAAAAAUGGUUUGAAGAAUCUGAGAUCGCAUUGUUACACCAACCCUAUUUUAGGGUUAAAUCAGAAUUUGCCCCAGAGUUUAUGCUCAAUUGAGGCUUUUCUCUUUCAUUUUCUUUUGAUUGAUUUUCCUUUGGCUUUUUUCGCCAUUUUUGAACUUUCACAAAAUUUGCCCCAGUUUAUUUUUGAACUGAGGUUCUCUUUUCUUUUCUCUUCUUUUGCUUUUGUUGCUUUAGCACUUUUCGCCCUUUGGGACUUUUAUUUCUUUUUCAAUCUCAAAGUUACCCCAGUGUGGGGUUUGCGAUUCUCAGGGGUCGCCAAACGAAAUAAUUUAUUCUGAAAGCUCAAAAGGGACAACUAGAGAUAGAAUGUUCGAUUGAAAAAGAAGAGGGCCUGACCUUUAAUCCGUUCCUUACAUUAACUCUGAAAGGAAAAUUUUCAUUAAUGCGAAAUUUUUGCAUGCACCUGAAUCAACUGACUGAGGAAGACUCUCCAUAAGUGGUUCGUCGGACAAAACCUUUCCUUUUUCCCUUUUUCCAAAAUUGAAUCCCAGAUAAAUUCAAAUUUCUCCAAUUUGUGAUUCCCUCUUUUCUUUUCUUUUGGCAUUUUUGCUUUUUCUCCUUUUGGAAAAUUCUCCAAUCUCCUUCCCCAAUGUGGGGUGCGAUCAUUAGUGCUUUGAAAAGAACCACCGAUUUUAGCUCAAAUGAGGAUGCAAUGGGUAAAUUGUGUUUAGAUUGUAGAAACGAUGGCCAAAGUAUCAUUCUCACACUCCAUGACAACCAAAGUAACGAAUUGCUCAUUGAAAAUUCAUUCCCUUUUUUGAUAUUUGAAAAAUUUUCCCGUGUAGGGUAGUGAUCAUUAAGGCUCUUAUUUGAAACGAAAUUAUUCUUUCAAAGGCUCAAAUGGGAGAUCAAAUGAUAAAAGCUAUAUGGAUAGAGAAACCAACGCUUGAAAUAUCAUCACAAAUUCCCAAAAUAGAUAAGGAUAGUGCACCAUUUUGCUUUCACUGAGAUGUAGAUUGAAUCUAAUUAGACACAAUGGACAUUUUUCAAGUAAGGAUUGCCCCAAUUUGCAAUUUAUCAAUCAAUGUGACUGAUUUUAUUUUGGGGUUAAAUGAAGGAGAAAAGGUAUCUCAUUGGGCCUUUCGAGUGACCUCUUACUUUUUCCCUGAGCACUCUUAUUGUAUAACUCGGAUCACCAAUCGAGUGUAAGGAUCUUAGGAAGCAUUCACUUGUGAAUUUUCAGGCUAGAGAUUAAAAAUAUCUCAAUUUGGUCUUAUUUCCCAAAAUUCAUCAUGAAAUCUCCAAUGAGUAAGAAUAAAGAAUGAAAUGUACAUAAAUAUACACAAAACAAUAAUUGUCCAAAAAUUUUAUUGCUGAAAAACAAUUUGAAACAAAAUUUCUCGUUCAAUUAUGAUACAAAUGAGAAGAGAAUUUAUUGUCUCCUUUUCUUUUGGAACAAAAUUUUAUAAACAAAUCAAAAAAACAGAAUUUCCCUUUGGAAAAUAAUUACAACUUCUCUCAGAGGCUUUAGCGUAGAGCUUCCAAAUGGAUCAUUUAUGUUUUUAUUGUAGGAUCUGUCCAAAAAUCAAAUAAUACUUGUAAUCUUCAAACUUUAUGAGAUUAAAAUUAGCAUCAGAUAUAGAAGAAUAUUUUCGUCUUAUUGAAACAUUUUUAUGAAUGCAGGGGAGGGGGAAAACAAAAGAAAAAUACCCAGAGUUAGUAGGCAAAACUGCAAAAUCGGUAUGCAUGUCCUAUGGGGGAACCCUUUUUGUGCCAAGGGUAGGCCUAGCAUGAAAAUGCAAUCCGCUAGAGUAGGCACUAUACAAUACCUGAUGGAUCUGAUCAACUCCUUGAGUGAAAAACAAUUUGAAAAAUUUGGCCCAUUGGAAUGAGAAGAGACGAUGGUCAAAAUGAGGACCUCGUCCGAAGGGAUUGAUCACCUUUGAUCGAUAUAAGAAUUUGCAAAAAACGUACGGGUUUUGACCUUGACGAACUUCCUAUCGAAGAGAUUGGAAUUCGUUGACAAAUUUUCUCAGUGGAGCACGGGUCAAAACUCCAACUAAUCAAAUGGCUGGAUGCAAUGGAUGGUUUUCUCAAAAAUCUACUAAGUUUUGAAAUCCGACAUUAAAACCCUAGUUGGUCAAAUGAAAUUGACAAUUUAUUAAAAAUCGACCGGAUUACCCUAAAAGGGAAACGGGUCAAAUGAAUUGAGUGAAAUUUAAAACUUACUCAAAAUUGACCGAAUCAUCCUAAAAAAGGAACUUGGUCAAAUGAAUUGAAUGAAAUUGAGAAUUUAUUCAAAAUUGACCAGAUCGCCCUAAAAGGGUAAAUUGGUCAAAUGAAUCGACGAUUUGUUCAAAAUCGACCGGAUGACCCUAAAAAGGGUAAAUUGGUCAAAUGACCCUAAAAAGGGUAAAUUGGUCAAAUGAAUUGACGAUUUAUCAAAAAUUGAUUAGGAAUUGACAAAAUGGAUCGAUUGAAUCGGCCGGCCAUUGGUGGUUUCAAAAAAUUAGUCUAUGAGCCUUCUAAAAUCACGAUUUGGCCUCAGUUUAUUAACUGUCUCAAUGAUAAGGAAUUAUUUGUGAAUUUCUUCAAAUUAAUGUCCUUUACGCAAGGGAUUUUUACCAAUUUUUGAUAAAAUGGCCAAAAAGUGAUUAUUAGAUGCUCAUAUUCCAAAGAUUACUCUAUGAAAAUGAUCGGGUCCUACCUUACCUUGUGCACUACCCCUUUGGAUGGUACAAAAUGUAAACGUGCAAGUCUCACUGGAUUAAGUAUCCGAGACACAAAGGUGGCUUAUUCCUAAUGUGGGAUCCCCUAAAUGGCAUUCCCUUUCUAGGGUUUAUGCAUGAUGCCAUUUAUUAAAGCAGUAAAAUGUGCAAUUCGAAAUGAAACGUGACCUAAGGAACCCUUUUAUUUGCCAGGGUAGGCCUAAAAUGCUAUACAAUUACCAAAAUCUAUGAAUGCAAUAUACCAAAAUCUUUAAACGUGCAAUACCCUAUCUACGAGGGUAGGUUCUAAAAGAAGGUCAUGCCAGACCUCUUAUUUCCUAACGUUUGUGAAUGCAAAAGAUAAGAAACAAGGAAACGUUAGUUCAACACAUAAUCACAUAACACGUUGGAUAAUACAAAAGCAACAAAGAAAUAAGGAAAGAGGGUGGGAUCCCUCCCCUCGUGCAUGGUGUCCCUAAUAGGGUAAGGUCGACUCUACCUUAGGCAAUUCUAAAAUGGAUGCAUGAGGUUGGGGUUCACUAAUGCAUCUAGACUCGAUAAGUCAUAGGUCCCCAAGCCUUCAGACUCGUGACCAAGGGUCAUCACUCCCAAGGCCCUUUGUCGGUGGCUCGAGCGAUUCCCCAAACACCGCUACGCACACGUCGUGUCACGGCCGCAUGUUUGAGUGAAUCUAUAAAAAACCUCAACCUUCGACUAAAAACUAAGGAUAUUAACCCAAAGUUUAAAGCGGAAGAGUGAGUGACCCAUUGGAUCGUGCUACGCACACGUCGUGUUACGAUCACACGUCCAAGUGGGUCUCCUAAUCCUAAUAGGGUGGAGUGGCGUGACAAGCCACUAAAAAGAAAAAUAAAGGAGGAUGAAUAGUAAAGCGUAUGCGCGUAUGAUAGUGCACGUUUUGGAGGGGAGGGAUCGAGAACCAACGCGAGGCUCUAAGGUAGAAUCCCCUCCCAAAUGCAAUGCAAAGCGCGGAAUCACAUACAAACAUCCAUUCAUCAAAACAAUCGUAGGCGAACGUGUGAGGACGUGAGUUGAUACGCGAAAAUGCAAAAAACCUAGAAAAAGGGAAAAAUGCAACCCUAAACAUCCAAUGUGAUAAAUAAAAAGGUUUAAAAGAAGAAAAAGAUUGAUUAAAUCAAAUUUGCUCGGACUCUCGAAUGUCCCCAGUGGAGUCGCCAACUGUCGCGCCCCAUUUUUUGAUAAAUAAAUAAAAUGGUUUAAAAAUGUAUUUUUUGAUUCAAUUUGUGAUUUGAAAAAUUAAUUGUGAUUUAAAAGAAAGAUGGGUCUAAAUGGGACUUUUGAAAAUGCGACGAUUUGACCCAAGAAAAAUAGUUCAAAAAGGGUUUUUUAUAUGAAAAAUGGAGUCGCCACUUGGUAUAGAGUUAGGGUGUACCAAGUCACCCAAAAAAGUGAAUUUUUUAAGGAAAAAAGUAAGAAACCCUUUUGAACGACUCCUAGUCCACGUAAACCAAUGAAAAAGGUUCGGGAGUCACAUUUGACGAAGGGGAAGGCAAGGAUGAAAAUCCAAGGCACCCCUCUGACCUAGCCAAGGCUAGUUGCGUUGAUUUAAUCAAAGAUUUUCUUGUUUUAACCAAAGAAUUUAUUACAUUUGGAUGCACUACAUGAAUGCAAACCCUAGACCUAGGGGGAUUGGGGGAAAUUUCCCUUCAAAGGUUGAGUGGUGCCAAUCACAUUAAUCGUGAAGCCCAAUAACGAUCCUUUGAAGAAGUCACGAAUAAUGCGAGUGGGAUGCAAAUGAAUGGGAUGCAUGUAUGCAAUGUGAGGACAUGAGCUUGAAAAAGUAAUAAAAGAUAAGAAUGUGUAAAUGGAAAUGUGCACGUGAGUGGGCAAGGUGCGGUGUGUGAAAUGAUAAUAUGAAGUACAUGUGUGCAAGUGAUGAUAAAAGUGUUUGUGUGCAAGUGAAGGGAUAAAAAGGUGUACGUGUGCAAAUGAGGGGAGAAGUGUUCGUGUGCAAGUGAAGGGAUAAAGGUGUACGUGUGCAAAUGAGGGGAGAAAAUGAAAGUGUAAUGAUAGAGUGGAUGCAUGAACCUAGGGAAUU